AAUCAACGCUGGCGGCGUGCCUAACACAUGCAAGUCGAACGAGAAAGUGGAGCAAUCCAUGAGUAAAGUGGCGACCGGGUGAGUAACACGUGACUACCUACCCUCGAGUGGGGGAUAACUCCGGGAAACCGGAGCUAAUACCGCAUAACAUCGAGAGAUCAAAGCAGUAAUGCGCUUGAGGAGGGGGUCGCGGCUGAUUAGCUAGUUGGCGGGGUAACGGCCCACCAAGGCGAUGAUCGGUAGCCGGCCUGAGAGGGCGCACGGCCACAC
rnacentral:rRNA from 1 species